AAUGGGGGAAACCCUGACGCAGCAACGCCGCGUGAAGGAUGAAGGUUUUCGGAUUGUAAACUUCUUUGAUCGGGGACGAAAAUGACGGUACCCGAGGAACAAGCCACGGCUAACUACGUGCCAGCAGCCGCGGUAAUACGUAGGUGGCAAGCGUUGUCCGGAAUUACUGGGCGUAAAGGGCGUGUAGGCGGGGGAUCAAGUCAGAUGUGAAAUUCCAUGGCUUAACUGUGGCGCNGCAUCUGAAGCUGGUCCUCUUGAGUACUGGAGAGGAAAGUGGAACUCCUAGUGUAGCGGUGAAAUGCGUAGAGAUUAGGAGGAACACCAGUGGCGAAGGCGGCUUUCUGGACAGUAACUGACGCUGAGGCGCGAAAGCGUGGGGAGCAAA
rnacentral:rRNA from 1 species